rnacentral:rRNA from 1 species
CCUACGGGUGGCUGCAGUGGGGAAUAUUGGACAAUGGGCGAAAGCCUGAUCCGGCCAUGCCGCGUGUGUGAAGAAGGCCUUCGGGUUGUAAAGCACUUUCAGUGGGGAAGAAAGCCUUGGGGCUAAUACCCUCGAGGAAGGACAUCACCCACAGAAGAAGCACCGGCUAACUCCGUGCCAGCAGCCGCGGUAAUACGGAGGGUGCGAGCGUUAAUCGGAAUUACUGGGCGUAAAGCGCGCGUAGGCGGUCUGAUAAGCCGGUUGUGAAAGCCCCGGGCUCAACCUGGGAACGGCAUCCGGAACUGUCAGGCUAGAGUGCAGGAGAGGAAGGUAGAAUUCCCGGUGUAGCGGUGAAAUGCGUAGAGAUCGGGAGGAAUACCAGUGGCGAAGGCGGCCUUCUGGACUGACACUGACGCUGAGGUGCGAAAGCGUGGGUAGCAAACAGGAUUAGAUACCCGAGUAGUC